CCCUGCAGCACCCACGCUUCUGCCUUGGACACACGCAUGUUACCCCUGCGCGCGGUGGAUGCCAGGAAGAGGGGGAUCAGCUACGUCCGAGGCCAAGUGGAGAUCAGAGCGCUUCAACAGCAGUCACCCAGUAAUCAUCGUUUUGAUUCAAGAUUUGAAUAUCAGAAAAUUUAGGUUUCUGAAAAUUAGAUGUGUGUCAUGUCAGUCAUUGCAACUUUCACCUCUGUCUCUUAAAUCACUUGCUCUGGAGGAAGCUGGCAAUCAUGCUGUAAAGACACUCAAACAGCUUUGUGCAGAGAAACUGAGGCCUCCAACCAAGUUGCCAGCCUAAUGAGUGAGCCACCCUGGAAAUGGAUCUUCUAGACCUAAUCAAGCCUUCAGAUAACUGCAGGACCAACUGACAUCUGACUGCAACUACAUGAGCAACUCCAAGUGAGAACUUCACACAACAGCCCUUUCAGAGUUCUUGAUCAGCAGAAACUUGAGACAUCAUGAGUGCUUAUUGUUUUAAGCCACUAAGUUUUAGGGGUGAAUUAUUUGGCAGCAGCAGAUGACAAAACAGAAUUGGUAGACUGAGAGUUGUACAUUCAUGACUACAGAGAUCUGUCACUUAAAGUAAGAUCAAACUUGGUGACCCGUUCCUUUAAGUUUUUUCUUUUUUUUAGUAAUGGGAAAGGAGAUGUGUCCUUCCUCAGGAAUAUAGAGCCAGGAUUCAUACAGAAAGACAGUUCUGCAUACACGCUCUUGCCUGCCAUCAAGUGAGAUGUGCGUUUGCUCUUUCUUCACCUGCUGUCAUGAUUGUGAGGCCUCCCCAGCCAUGUGGAACUAGGGCCUGGACUAACAUGUUCUGGUAUUGCAUGAAGCAUCUAUGAUCACAGAGUAACAAGAAAAUAGCACAAGCAAACAUAUGAGGACUUGAGAUAAUUCAAAAGGAUAUCUGUGUGAACCUUCCAUAGGACAACCAUAGCACAUAGCAUGAAAAAGACUUGCUGGAAAGCUAUUUUAGCACCUCUGAUAAACAGAAAAAAAGGUGAGUAUUCCUAUUUCAAGCUAUCUAACUUUAUCACUUUGUCUGCUUUUUCUAAUCAAUGUUAUCAUCUGCUGGAAAAAUCUUGUAAAAUUCAGAAAGCUAAAAUCUAGGAAAAUGAAACCCAGGGACAACAACUUCCAGAAAUGUAAAAGCCAUUGAACAUUCUCUAUUGCCCUAAAGUGGUUGUCAGAAAAGACAGUUUAUUGGCUCUUCCCUAAGAAUUAUGUUUUCAGCAACAAUACUUAAACAUUUACUGUCUUGGAUUGUAACAAUGGCUAUUUGUUUAGGUGGCACUGUGCCUAUUUAGAACUUUGUAAAAUUCUUGCCAUAGAGAUCAACAACGUUUAGGAGGACAAAUGUUAACAUAAACACAGCUCCCCACAGAGUUGGAGUUAGAUUUCUUGGGUUUGAAUCCUGGCCCUGGAUGUAUUAGGUAGUUAACUCAGACAAUUUAUUUGAUUUUAACCCUAGAUUUUCUCAUCUGUAAACUAUAGAUAAUAGUGUAUACUUCGCCAUUAUGGGAAUAUGUGCCAGCAUACAGUAAUUAUAAAUUAUAGUUAUUUUUUAUUAUUAUCAAUCAAUGUGCUUAACUGCAAAAAAUAGAACCCAUUCCAGCUAGAUUAAGCAGAAAAGGAAUUUAUCAAAGGAACCAGGUGACUCAUAAAUCCUGGGGGUGGGAGGGACAGAGAGUCAGACUUAGCAAUGGCAUAAAAAGGACAAUGCCUAAGUCAUAUCAUAGCAGGUGCAGAGUGACACAGACAGUGGAGCUCACACAAGAACUACAUAAGUUGUAGGGCCUAGUGCAAAAUGAAAAGAUGGGUCCACUUGUUCAAGUAGAAUAUUUCCAUUGAAGGUACUAAAAUAAAGCUCUUUCCUUUUUCUGCAGUCUUUCUCAACUUUUCACAG